AUGGGAUCAAAACUUACACCAAUUUUUUGCAGUUGUGGAUACACGUUGUAGGGUAUGUUUUUAAGUCUAGAAAUUGGGAUAAUUAGUGUUAUUUGAACCCACUACACUCACAUGGUAGAAAUUUUGGAUCCGUCACUGAUUUUUUUUUUCAACUUGGGCUACCCCCAUUUUCCAUUGCAAAACAACGGAAACACCAGGUUCAAGUCUUAUAGCAUUUUCAGCAAAGGAAAAAAAUGGGGGAAAGGCCCUAAACCGGCUGGAAACCCACUGCGCCAUA
rnacentral:lncRNA from 1 species